rnacentral:lncRNA from 1 species
CAGUUGCCUAGGUAGUAAAUCAUGGAUACAAAAGGAAACAUCUAUACAACACGUCACCAAUGUUCAUGUGAACGUUUUACAGGAAAAAAUUUAAUGACCAGAGCUUUGAACAAAUCCAGUUGGCCUGCACCUACAAAUUCCCAAGACCAAGGCAAGUGGCAAGGUACUCAGUUAGCCCUCCUUUUUUCCACUUGUAGAUCACCUCCAAGGUGAUGCUGAAACACAACAGGAAAAAUAAAUAUCUUAAUACGUGAUAGGAUCUAGUUCUUUCUUAACUAACUGAUGCUUUCUUUUUAUUUUAACCUGCCACAUGCGUUGAUAACUUAGCAAUGACACAAUGGACAUUGUGAAUAGCCAGUAAAUAAACCCUCAACAAGGAUUUAUAAUGACUUACCUUACUAUCUAUGUGACAUACAUAUGGGCAUGUUGGACAAAAGAAUCUGGCAGGGCGGUCCAUAUGCGGCAAUUCAUACUGCAAUAACAUCCCACAAGUCCGGCAAAAUUCCAUUGCAGUCUCUUUUAGGAUAAUCCACUAUUUAUGUAUGUCUC